rnacentral:rRNA from 1 species
AUUGAACGCUGGCGGCAUGCUUUACACAUGCAAGUCGAACGGCAGCGCGGGCUUCGGCCUGGCGGCGAGUGGCGAACGGGUGAGUAAUAUAUCGGAACGUGCCCAGUAGUGGGGGAUAGCUCGGCGAAAGCCGGAUUAAUACCGCAUACGACCUGAGGGUGAAAGCGGGGGAUCUUCGGACCUCGCGCUAUUGGAGCGGCCGAUGGCAGAUUAGCUAGUUGGUGGGGUAAAGGCCUACCAAGGCGACGAUCUGUAGCUGGUCUGGGAGGACGACCAGCCACACUGGGACUGAGACACGGCCCAGACUCCUACGGGAGGCAGCAGUGGGGAAUUUUGGACAAUGGGCGAAAGCCUGAUCCAGCAAUGCCGCGUGUGUGAUGAAGGCCUUCGGGUUGUAAAGCACUUUUGGCGGGAACGAAAAGGACUGUGCCAAUACCACGGUUCGAUGACGGUACCCGCAGAAUAAGCACCGGCUAACUACGUG